CCUACGGGUGGCAGCAGUGAGGAAUAUUGGUCAAUGGGCGGGAGCCUGAACCAGCCAAGUCGCGUGAGGGAAGACGGUCCUAUGGAUUGUAAACCUCUUUAGGCGGGGAGCAAUGCCGGGCACGCGUGCCCGGAGGGAGAGUACCCGCAGAAUAAGCAUCGGCUAACUCCGUGCCAGCAGCCGCGGUAAUACGGAGGAUGCGAGCGUUAUCCGGAUUUAUGGGGUUUAAAGGGUGCGUAGGCGGAUUUUUAAGUCAGCGGUAAAAUGUCCGGGCUAAACCUCUUCGAGCCGUUGAAACUGGUUUUCUUGAGUGAGUGAGAAGUAGGCGGAAUGCGUGGUGUAGCGGUGAAAUGCAUAGAUAUCACGCAGAACUCCGAUUGCGAAGGCAGCAUACCGGCGCUCAACUGACGCUCAUGCACGAAAGUGUGGGUAUCGAACAGGAUUAGAUACCCUAGUAGUC
rnacentral:rRNA from 1 species